UCCCUGUUACUCAAGUGAGGGCAUCAAAGUGGUUGGACCUGUUUCGGAUCUGCUUGGUAGGGUCAACGGGUUUGGGUAUUUCUGGCCCGCCCGUACCAAGCUGAGAGUUGGGCCGCGUGGGCCGAGCGAAAGCUUGUUCCAAACGUUCCCUAGAGAGGGGGGCAAUGCGCCAGGCUGGUUUCACAGAGCAGCGAAUACCUCCCGCUCCUGGUAGUGGAAGGAUAACGGGCCGGUGCUCUCUUGACCCAUUAGUGCCAAGUUGUGCUGACUUCCACUG
rnacentral:SRP_RNA from 1 species